AGAGUUUGAUCAUGGCUCAGAACGUACGCUGGCGGCACGCCUAACACAUGCAAGUCGAACGAAGUAGCAAUACUUAGUGGCAGACGGGUGAGUAACAUGUGGGUAUCUGCCCUUUGGCCUGGAAUAACACGAGGAAACUUGUGCUAAUACCGGAUAAGUCUUUACGGAGAAAGCUUUAUGCACCAUUGGAUGAGCCUGCACUUGAUUAGUUUGUUGGUGGGGUAAUGGCCUACCAAGACUGUGAUCAAUAGCUGAUUUGAGAGGAUGAUCAGCCACAUUGGGACUGAGACACGGCCCAAACUCCUACGGGAGGCAGCAGUGGGGAAUCUUGCACAAUGGAGGAAACUCUGAUGCAGCGAUGCCGCGUGAGUGAAGAAGGCCCUUGGGUUGUAAAGCUCUUUCGUCGGGGAAGAAAAUGACUGUACCCGAAUAAGAAGGUCCGGCUAACUUCGUGCCAGCAGCCGCGGUAAUACGAAGGGACCUAGCGUAGUUCGGAAUUACUGGGCUUAAAGAGUUCGUAGGUGGUUAAAAAAGUUGGUGGUGAAAUCCCAGAGCUUAACUCUGGAACUGCCAUCAAAACUUUUUAGCUAGAGUAUGAUAGAGGAAAGCAGAAUUUCUAGUGUAGAGGUGAAAUUCGUAGAUAUUAGAAAGAAUACCAAUUGCGAAGGCAGCUUUCUGGAUCAUUACUGACACUGAGGAACGAAAGCAUGGGUAGCGAAGAGGAUUAGAUACCCUCGUAGUCCAUGCCGUAAACGAUGUGUGUUAGACGUUGGAAAUUUAUUUUCAGUGUCGCAGCGAAAGCAAUAAACACACCGCCUGGGGAGUACGACCGCAAGGUUAAAACUCAAAUGAAUUGACGGGGACCCGCACAAGUAGUGGAGCAUGUGGUUUAAUUCGAAGAUACGCGCAGAACCUUACCAACACUUGACAUGUUCGUCGCGACUUUAAGAGAUUAAAGUUUUCGGUUCGGCCGGACGAAACACAGGUGCUGCAUGGCUGUCGUCAGCUCGUGUCGUGAGAUGUUGGGUUAAGUCCCGCAACGAGCGCAACCCUCACUUUUAGUUGCCAUCAUUUAGUUGGGCACUCUGAAAGAACUGCCAGUGAUAAGCUGGAGGAAGGUGGGGAUGACGUCAAGUCCUCAUGGCCCUUACGUGUUGGGCUACACACGUGCUACAAUGGUAUCUACAACAGGAAGCAAAACCGCGAGGUUAAGCAAAUCCUUAAAAGAUACCUCAGUUCGGAUUGCACUCUGCAACUCGAGUGCAUGAAGCUGGAAUUACUAGUAAUCGUGGAUCAGCGUGCCACGGUGAAUGCGUUCCCGGGUCUUGUACACACCGCCCGUCACACCAUGGGAGUUGGUUCUACCUUAAGGCAAGGUUUUAAACCCUUGACCACGGUAUAGUCAGCGACUGGGGUGAAGUCGUAACAAGGUAGCCGUAGGGGAACCUGCGGCUG
rnacentral:rRNA from 1 species